rnacentral:misc_RNA from 1 species
AAGUUGUAACAAGGUCUGCGUUGGUGAACCAGCGGAGGGAUCAUCACUGAGUACUACACUCUCUACCCUUUGUGAACUAUUAUACCUGUUGCUUCGGCGGCGCCGCAAGGGUGCCGCCGGUCUCAUCAGAAUCUCUGUUUUCGAACCCGACGAUACUUCUGAGUGUUCUUAGCGAACUGUCAAAA